rnacentral:rRNA from 1 species
AUUGAACGCUGGCGGCAGGCCUAACACAUGCAAGUCGAACGAGUGGCGGACGGGUGAGUAAUGUCUGGGAAACUGCCUGAUGGAGGGGGAUAACUACUGGAAACGGUAGCUAAUACCGCAUAACAUCAGAUGUGCCCAGAUGGGAUUAGCUAGUUGGUGGGGUAACGGCUCACCAUGGCGACGAUACCUAGCUGGUCUGAGAGGAUGACCAGCCACACUGGAACUGAGACAGGGUCCAGAAUCCUACGGGAGGCAGGAGUGGGGAAUAUUGCACAAGGGGCGCAAGCCUGAUGCAGCCAUGCGGAGUGGAUGAAGAAGGGCGUCGGGUUGGAAAGUACUUUCAGCGGGGAGGCGUUACCCGCAGAAGAAGCACCGGCUAACUCCGUGCCAGCAGCCGCGGUAAUUC